AACGAACGCUGGCGGCAUGCCUAACACAUGCAAGUCGAACGAGACCUUCGGGUCUAGUGGCGCACGGGUGCGUAACGCGUGGGAACCUGCCCUUAGGUUCGGAAUAACUCCCCGAAAGGGGUGCUAAUACCGGAUAAUGUCUUCGGACCAAAGAUUUAUCGCCUUUGGAUGGGGCCGCGUUGGAUUAGCUAGUUGGUAGGGUAAAAGCCUACCAAGGCGACGAUCCAUAGCUGGUCUGAGAGGAUGAUCAGCCACACUGGGACUGAGACACGGCCCAGACGCCUACGGGAGGCAGCAGUGGGGAAUAUUGGACAAUGGGCGAAAGCCUGAUCCAGCAAUGCCGCGUGAGUGAUGAAGGCCUUAGGGUUGUAAAGCUCUUUUACCCGGGAUGAUAAUGACAGUACCGGGAGAAUAAGCUCCGGCUAACUCCGUG
rnacentral:rRNA from 1 species